UACGGGGGGGGCAAGCGUUGUUCGGAAUUACUGGGCGUAAAGGGCGCGUAGGCGGCCUUCUAAGUCAGACGUGAAAAUCCCUCGGCUCAACCGGGGAACUGCGUCUGAUACUGGAUGGCUUGAAUCGGGAGAGGGAUGCGGAAUUCCAGGUGUAGCGGUGAAAUGCGUAGAUAUCGGAAGGAACACCGGUGGCGAAAGCGGC
rnacentral:rRNA from 1 species